rnacentral:rRNA from 1 species
AUUGAACGCUGGCGGAAUGCUUUACACAUGCAAGUCGAGCGGCAGCACGGGGGUAACCCUGGUGGCGAGCGGCGAACGGGUGAGUAAUACAUCGGAACAUGCCCAGUCGUGGGGGCUAACACUUCGAAAGAAGUGCUAAUACCGCAUACGUCCUGAGGGCGAAAGCGGGGGAUCGCAAGACCUCGCGCGAUUGGAGUGGCCGAUGUCAGAUUAGCUAGUUGGUGGGGUAAAGGCCUACCAAGGCAACGAUCGGUAGCUGGUCUGAGAGGAUGAUCAGCCACACUGGGACUGAGACACGGCCCAGACUCCUACGGGGGGCAGCAGUGGGGAAUUUUGGACAAUGGGGGCAACCCUGAUCCAGCCAUUCCGCGUGAGUGAAGAAGGCCUUCGGGUUGUAAAGCUCUUUCGGCAGGAACGAAACGGUGAGCUCUAACAUAGCUUGCUAAUGACGGUACCUGAAGAAGAAGCACCGGCUAACUACGU